CGAGGACGAACGCUGGCGGCGUGCCUAAUACAUGCAAGUCGAACGGUCUUUCUAUGGAAGCUUGCUUCCACUGAGAAGAUAGUGGCGAACGGGUGAGUAACACGUGGGUAACCUGCCCAUAAGGAGGGGGAUAACAUCCGGAAACGGGUGCUAAAUACCGCAUAGUUUUCUUGAUCGCAUGAUCGGGAAAGGAAAGACGGCCUUUGUGCUGUCGCUUAUGGAUGGACCCGCGGCGUAUUAGUUAGUUGGUGAGGUAACGGCUCACCAAGACGAUGAUACGUAGCCGACCUGAGAGGGUGAUCGGCCACAGUUGGGACUGAGACACGGACCCAAACUCCGUACGGGAGGCAGCAGGUAGGGAAUAUUGCACAAUGGGGGAAACCCUGAUGCAAGCAACGCCGCGUGAGUGAUGACGGCCUUCGGGUUGUAAAGCUCUGUCUUCAGGGACGAUAAUGACGGUACCUGAGGAGGAAGCCACGGCUAACUACGUGCCAGCAGCGGC
rnacentral:rRNA from 1 species